AUUGAACGCUGGCGGAAUGCUUUACACAUGCAAGUCGAGCGGCAGCGCGGGGCAACCUGGCGGCGAGCGGCGAACGGGUGAGUAACACAUCGGAACGUGCCCAGACGUGGGGGAUAGCCCGGCGAAAGCCGGAUUAAUACCGCAUACGAUCUAAGGAUGAAAGCGGGGGACUCGCAAGGGCCUCGCGCGUUUGGAGCGGCCGAUGGCAGAUUAGGUAGUUGGUGGGGUAAAGGCUUACCAAGCCUGCGAUCUGUAGCUGGUCUGAGAGGAUGAUCAGCCACACUGGGACUGAGACACGGCCCAGACUCCUACGGGAGGCAGCAGUGGGGAAUUUUGGACAAUGGGCGCAAGCCUGAUCCAGCCAUGCCGCGUGCGGGAAGAAGGCCUCGGUUGUAACGACUUUGUCUAGGAGAAAGACGCCAGGUAAUAACCUUGGCGUCGAUGACGGUACCUGAAGAAUAAGACACCGGCGUAACUACUGUGCCAGCAGCC
rnacentral:rRNA from 1 species